UACGUAGGGUGCAAGCGUUAAUCGGAAUUACUGGGCGUAAAGCGUGCGCAGGCGGUUUUGUAAGUCAGAUGUGAAAUCCCCGGGCUUAACCUGGGAACUGCGUUUGAAACUACAAGGCUAGAGUGUGGCAGAGGGGGGUGGAAUUCCACGUGUAGCAGUGAAAUGCGUAGAGAUGUGGAGGAACACCGAUGGCGAAGGCAGCCCCCUGGGUUAACACUGACACUGAGGCACGAAAGCGUGGGGAGCAAACAGG
rnacentral:rRNA from 1 species